UACGUAGGGGGCAAGCGUUGUCCGGAUUUAUUGGGCGUAAAGAGCGUGUAGGCGGCUAGAUAGGUCCGUUGUGAAAACUCGAGGCUCAACCUCGAGACGUCGAUGGAAACCAUCUGGCUAGAGUCCGGAAGAGGAGAGUGGAAUUCCUGGUGUAGCGGUGAAAUGCGCAGAUAUCAAGCGGAACACCGGUGGCGAAGGCGGCCUUCUGGACAGUGACUGACGCUGAGACGCGAAAGCGUGGGGAGCAAACAGG
rnacentral:rRNA from 1 species